rnacentral:rRNA from 1 species
AGGACGAACGCUGGCGGCGUGCUUAACACAUGCAAGUGGAGCGACGAACCAGGGCUUGCCCUGGGGCAGAGCCGCGAACGGGUGAGUAACACGUGGGUUACCUGCCUUGAUGACCGGGACAACCCGAGGAAACUCGGGCUAAUACCGGAUGUGCCCGCAAGGGGAAAGGAAGCUUCGGCCUCCGCAUCAAGAUGGGCCCGCGGCCCAUUAGCUUGUUGGUGAGGUAACGGCUCACCAAGGCUUCGACGGGUAGCUGGUCUGAGAGGACGAUCAGCCACACUGGGACUGAGACACGGCCCAGACUCCUACGGGAGGCAGCAGUGGGGAAUCUUGCACAAUGGGCGAAAGCCUGAUGCAGCAACGCCUCGUGAGGGACGAAGGCUUUCUGAGUUGUAAACCUCUUUCAGCAGGGACGAUUGUGACGGUACCUGCAGAAGAAGCCCGGCAACUACGUGCCAGCAGUCGC